AGUCUUCAGUAUCCCUGUACCAGUUGUUGCUGAGGGUGCGGGAAGCAAAUAAGGAUCUUUGCAAAGUUUGGGGUUACCUCACGUGGAUUUGAAAAAAAUGGAGCAUUUAAUGGAUGAAUCUUUUAAGGACAAUAAAAUGAGGGAUUACUGGAGAAGCAUGUGAAAGAGUGCCUGAACCGUUUGGGUUUAACAGAGCAGGACUUUGAAGAACUGAUGCGAAAGAAGGCCCAUAUGUCAGAAGAGGAGGCACUUGAAUGGCUGAAGCAGCACAUUAACUGAAAGUUCACGAGUCCCUGGUGUGAACAAACUUCAAGAAGCAGCACAGCAAUCAAUGAUCAUGUUACACCAACUCUACAUCGUGUACACCCAUGAUCUUUGAAUAUAAUUUAUGCGAUCAUAUACAUUAAAAUCGUGUUUGUGUUUUAUUGAUAAUGAAUUUAAGUCAAGCAGCUGUGUAACAAUCAUGCGAUAACCAUGUAGGAACUGUCUACAGAAAGGGACAUUUUUAAACCACCUGAAGAAAAACGGCUGUCUUUUACAUUUCAAUAAAUUAAAUGAAGGAA